CAUGUUUAAGAGCAGCUUCAGCAAUUUAGUGAGGCCCUUUCUCAAAAAGGGCUGGGGAUGUAGCUCUGGUAAAGCACCCCUAAGUUCAAUUCCCAGUAAGGAGGAAAUAAAAAGAAAUCGUCAGCAAGACCAGGUACAGUGACAUACCUGUAAUCCCAGUGACUUCAGAGGUGGAGGUAGGAUUGCCAAACUCGAGGCCAAUCUGGGCAACUAAGUGAGACCCUGUCUCAAAAUGAAAAGCUGAGAGCUCUGGGCAUCGUCAUACUGAGACUUGCUUGCUCCUCCCUACCCCCUGGUUUCAUAGGAAGGCAGCUGGACGCAGGUCGCAUAGCAGAUAAGCAGAGCAGGCAUUCCAGCUUGCCCAGGAUUCUCACCCUUCACCUCUCACCUUGGUCCUAGCAGCCAAUGGGGCUGGAGGGCUGACCUGACCUGUCACUUGUGAAUGUCCUCUUCCUGCAUUAUCCAGAUCGGGAUACCUGAACAGGAAGGAGCAUGGACCCAAUAUCUACAGCCCCCAGGCCUGUGCCAGGUGCUGAUGUCUGUGGCCACUUCUGUCCCCCUGAGCCACCAUCAGAGUCAUAGCGGCAGUCAUGAGACACUUAGUAAUAUGCAAACGCUUUGAGACUUAUAGCCUCUUCAGCCUCCCUGGAGGACAUUUAGCUCAUUUUGCCAGAGAGGUGGGAGGUAGCCUCAGAGAGACACUUAGUCAAGUCAGGAGAAAAAGUCCCCCAAGAGAAGCCCAAAGUGGGUUCUGGCAUCCUCCUUGAGGGAGGCAGGGACCUGGAUCUGGGCAAAGGGCGCUGUGGGUUUGCCUCUUGGCUUUUGACUCAGGCCAGGACCUGCUUCCUAUGGAAACUUCAGGACACCAGGAAGAGUGCCCCAUCUCCCUUCCCCCAUCAGGGAAGCUUUAACUUUCUUCCUGGAUGCUCUUAAAGAGAAACAGAUCAGGCAGGGAGGCUGUUUAAAAUCCUGGGCUGCCAGCCAGUUUUGAAGAUUGUUUUGCUGGGGCCAGGGCGGGGCAGGAAUUCCAGCCUGCCAGGAGCCCAGGAGCAGCCACGUGCUGUGCAUUCACAUGGUUAAAGAGCUGUGUGGAGUUGGGCACUAGCACAGGGAGCUGGGCGGUGCUGGCCCAGACAAGGCAGCAGGCACCAGUCGGGUCUAGGGGGGGUGGGCAUGGGGAAAAGAAUUUCCAUCUGAUUCAUGGUCUGAGCUGCACACUCAGUCACUUUUUUUUGCAAUGACAAUGUUUAAGGACACUUUUUUUUUUUUUAAAGGAAAAAUAUCCAGCAUUUCCUCAAAAUCACACAUUAUCAGCAUAGACUCUGGACCUGAAGAACCAAUCACCACGUGGGGCAAUAAAGCUGUUGGUGUGGUGCAAAAAGAAGUUUAGAUGGGAAGGUCCAUAGACACGUAGAAUCUGGAAUUAAUCAGGAAAAGACAAUUGAGUAAUGAUGGAGAAGUGGCUGCUUUGCAGCUGUCAAAGUCAUGCCUGGAGAGAAUGUUGGAUGAUGUGAGAGUAUUCACAAUGUAGUGCUCAAAGAAGACAGUUGAUUAUGGGACAGAAGGCUGGCUGCUGUGGGAAGCAGAAUUCAUGCCUUAAAAUAAAUGCUUUCCACUGGGCACUCUGCUGUGUGAUGGGGGCCACAUCAAGGAGCCAUUUAAUCAUCUGCUAAAUGAGAGGCUAUACUUAAAAGUUUCUUUUCAUUGUGCUGGAGAUGCUCUUGCCCAGCAUGCUCUAUCCCCAGUACAUGGAAAAAAUAAAUUCGUAUUUUAAAUCUCCACUAUUCCUAACUCAAGCCUGCAUUCUCCUGGUGCAGAGGAAGGAUUCUAUCAGACUUCAAAGAAGAUAUUUUAGUGAAAUUGUCACCAUCUAUGAGUCAUAUAAAAAUGAGGACUGUAUCAGGGAAGUGGACCUGCAUCCCUAAACUGGCUGAAAUUUUCAUUUUUACUGAAGUUUCUGUUGAAUUAAAUAUAUGGGAAAGUGUUCAUAUCUUAAGUGUCCAAUUUGGUUAAUAUUUGCAAGGUGAAUGUGCCAAUAUAAUCAUCACCCAGAUUGAGGCACAGAAUGUGACUGUCUCCCAAAGCUCCCUCACAUCCCUCCAGUCAUUAUCUCUCAAGGAUAACUGCCAUUCUGACUCGUAACUGUGCAGAACAAUUUGCUUAGAUUUGUACACUUUUUUCCCUUUAUCUUUUUUCUUUUGUGUGUGUUGCUGGUGAUUAAA